ACACCUAAAAAUGUCUCCUUAAAACCAAACUCGAUGAUGAAUCUUAACUAAAUAAGGGAAUUGAAGUGUGGUUUUGAGGAGAGAGAGAGAGCGAAUGGGUCACGUGAAGGUAAGGAGAAGGUGAUGACAAAAGGAGAGGAGAGAGAGAGAGAGAGAGAGAGAGAGAGAGAGAGAGAGAGAGAGAGAGAGAGAGAGAGAGAACACAAAUGUUGAAAACAGGAGUCGUGAUGGACGGCUACCCGAGAUGGACGGUCGUGCCCAAUACCAGGGGGCAAAAAAGACAUUUCCAACAAAUCAACCUCAGUAACACAUUAGUAGUUACCGUCUGUCAAAAUAACAAUCUCUCUCCUCUUACUCGAUUUACGGUUGUGAAAUUUCUCUCUUUCUCUCUACCUUGCCGGAAUUCUCGUCGGGAAACUGUGCGAAACCCUAGCAAAAUCGAAGCCAAAUCUGUUAUAAACUCAACGAGAAAAAAGGUUCCUGGUACGAAGAAGCAAAUUUAUGUCGAAAUUCGUAAUUGAAUUCGAAAUUUGUUGAAGUAGGAGAAGAUCUGAAGUUGUUUAACUCUGAAGUCGAAAUUAGUGAUGCAAAUCGGAAUUCAGGAAGCGUUUAAUGAUUUCAGGUGUUGCUCGAAGGGGUGGUCGAAGGGGGAGAACGGCUGAUUGAAGCUUUCGCCGGGCGUACUCCUGUCGAAAAGUUUAGGUGUUUUUUUUUUUUUGUUUUUUUUUUGGUUUUUGUUUUUGUGAAUGGUAAUUCUGAAAAGGUUAGGGUGGACGCCAGCAUGUAAGGAAGUGUUGUUUUAAUUUACAUAUGGCUUUUGAAAUUAAUUGCUCAUAAUUAUGUGCUUUUCUAUUUCAAUUGGAGAGACAGAACAUGUACCAUAUCACAUUCGUCAAAAGAUGAUGCGGGAUUUGGCAGCGGGAAUGACAUUGUCGAAGAAGCUCAAGGUGAUCAAAGAAGAUAGGGGUGAUUUGAAGGGAUUGACCACGGGGGAGGAAAACACUAAUUAAUUUAGUAUGCGUGUGAAAAACUAAAAUAAAAUUGUUGGUAUUUUCAGUAAUUGUGUAACCGUCACUAGUAAGUUAAUGUUUAAUCUCAAUGUGUUACGUAAAAUUUGUAAUGUUUAAUCUACUAGUGUAUUAUGUUAAAAACACGUUUUUAUGUAAAAUAUGGGAAAUUAUACAUUUUCCAGACUAGUCAUUUUAAAUGCCAA